rnacentral:tRNA from 1 species
GGGUCGGUAGCUCAGCAGGUUAGAGCGCUACGUUGACAUCGUAGAGGUCGUCAGUUCGAUUCUGGCUCGACCCACCA